AUACAGUAACGACCGGGCGACGGCGAGUUUGCCUCGAAGGAGCUGGACGCACGGAACAAAUCUGAAAGGAUUUACCUGGACGGCUGGACAGAAAAGACGAUUUGGAGGGCAGGAGUAGGCCACAGCACUCCAGAAGCAAUUCGAUUCCUCUCCGUGUUCUUGAUUCCGGCGACUCACCCGGCGGUUGGGCGUGCAGUGCAGGCGACUGGGCGAACGGUGGCGGGACCUUUGACCUGCAACAGCUAGCGGCAACUCCCCCAACGACGGCUAUGGGCUUUCGGUACUCUGAUUCGAAACUGAGGAUGUCAAAUUUGUCCCGGAUUGCGAGCGGGAUGAUUUCUGUUUGUCAUUGUAUUGUGGCAAAUCUAUAAGGGCACCUACGAUGCUUCCGCAAGCAGUGAUGCAGCGGCGGAAGAUGGUGCGUGCAGCCAUCUCGGGUCGUUGGAACCUGAUGCAUCCGUGCAGUAGCUGCUGCCCGCGACGGAGAUGGUGAAGGCAGGCUGAUUGACUCAGCGCAGUGCAAUGUGAAUAAGACUGAAGCAAGAGGUAUGGUGCGCGUGCUCUUUUAAAAAAUAUCUGUUUUUGCACGAGCGGACUAGGUCUUACGAGCAGAUGGAAGGGCUCCAGGAAAGACAACAUCCGUUGCUUGUAGGCUUUGUUAGGCAGGCAAGAUGUCAGAUCAUGUAUAAUUGAGGGUUUUAUCUAGACAGCGGGGCAUGCACGAAACAUAUGAGUGGGUGGAUAAUCCAGAGGGGCAUUGUGUUCCGCAGGGAUGCCAGAGGUUAGGAGAGCUGAUUGAUGAGGAGGUUCCGAAGUUGGAGCAAGGAAACAGGACCCCGUGAUCCAAGCGAUCUCGGAGAUGAAUGUGCCUCUUGGUGAGGCCAGUCUGAAUGAGGAACACAAAGCAACUAUCCUAGAUGAUAUUAUGGAAGGUGUGGGGGCACAGAAAAAAGAACUGCUGCAGAAACUGUUGGCGUGUUUAUACCCAUCUAGAGCUGAUGGUGAUACACGAGAUGUUCAUGCCGGAUCGGGAUCAUCAGGGCAGAGAGGGCCAACGAAUGCUGCAGGUAGCAGCAGGGCUGCUGCAAGGCCAGGAUGUUCGGCUAAUUUGCAGUCAGACAAAAGGAAGCAGCCCAUGGAGGAGGCAGAAGAAGAUGUUUGCAUGCGUGGUGAACAUGACGCAGAUGAAGUGAUCCUAGGAUAAGAUGAUUAGUUGAUUACAGCUUCAUUCUACCAGGAUGUUCAAAUAACCAUCAAGCGCUGGUGGCGAUGGCUGCCAAUGCAAACGUAGGGGUUCCAGCUAUGAUCGUCGAUGUUGUCGUGGCCACCGCCGUAGCCAUGGCUCGGGUAGCCCACAUCACCCCGCUCUGCGCCGUGGGUCAAACCCCGAAGUGCCGAUGGAUCUCGUAGAUUGGGAGGGAGGAGAAAUCGGCAGCGAUGGAUCUCGUCGUUCCACGUGAGGGCACCCACCGCGAGUUGAGCAGCCAACCUCCGGGCAGGUUGAUGUUCGUCCAUGCCACUGGGAGCUCUUCCUCGUACAACUUGCGAUCAUAGCCAAUAGGGACGGAACGUUGGUCCCUCUCCUUCCGGCGGCUUCCGCGCAACGAGCCCGUCUCGUGGUCGUUUUUCGUCCUCCAAAAUGGCUAGGACAUGCCCAUGGCGGCGCUUGGUCUAUAGUCCGUGGAGGUGAACAUGGGGAAGGUGGCAAUGGCAUGGAUGAAAAUGUGCGCGGUCACUCACCUCAAAAAGCAUGGGUGUACGCCUCCCCUUCAAUGCUUGACGCGGAAGCCCAACGCCGCCUACUAGCAAUAGCGCAUAGAAGCUGAAGUGAGGACCACUAAGGCAGCGUGAAGGACACAUCAACACCGCCCGCCACUACUGUGCGUGGAGAAGGUGAAGUGGGCACGGGGCACCAAUAAAGCUACACUUACGUAAAGCUUCUUCCGAUUUUUUUAUACAGGAUG